rnacentral:rRNA from 1 species
UUACGAGGUCAGGACACUGUGAGGAUUGACAGAUUGAAAGCUCUUUCUUGAUUCAGUGGGUGGUGGUGCAUGGCCGUUCUUAGUUGGUGGAGUGAUUUGUCUGGUUAAUUCCGUUAACGAACGAGACCUUAACCUGCUAAAUAGUCACGCGAACCGGUCCGCAAGGGCUCAAAGUUCGCGGCUCGACUUCUUAGAGGGACUAUUCGCACCCGCCAGCGAAUGGAAGUUUGAGGCAAUAACAGGUCUGUGAUGCCCUUAGAUGUUCUCGGCCGCACGCGCGUUACACUGACGGAGUCAACGAGCGUUUUUCCUUGCCCGACAGGGCUGGGUAACCUCCUGAAACUCCGUCGUGAUGGGGAUAGAUCAUUGCAAUUAUUGAUCUUGAACGAGGAAUUCCUAGUAGGCGCGAGUCAUCAACUCGCGCCGAUUACGUCCCUGCCCUUGUACACACCGCCCUCGUACCACCCCAUCCCCC